UCAUGUUGGUUUGCUGCACCCAUUAACUCAUCAUUUACAUUAGGUAUUUCUCCUAAUGCUAUCCCUCCCCCUGCCCCGCACCCCACGACAGGCCCCAGGGUGUGAUGUUCUCCUCCCUGUGUCCAAAUGAUCUCAUUGUUCAAUUUCCACCUAUGAGUGAGAACAUGUGGUGUUUGGGUUUCUGUCCUUGUGAUAGUUUGCUCAGAAUGAUGGUUUCCAGCUGCAUCCGUGUUCCUGCAAAGGACAUGAACUCAUCCUUUUUUAUGGCUGCAUAGUAUUUCCUGGUGUAUAUGUGCCACAUUUUCUUAAUCCAGUCUACCAUUGAUGGACAUUUCUGUUGGUUCCAAGUAUUUGCUAUUGUGAAUAGUGCCACAAUAAACGUGUGUACAUGUGUCUUUACAGUAGCAUGAUUUAUAAUCCUUUGGGUAUAUACCCAGUAAUGGGAUUGCUGGGUCAAAUGGUAUUUCUAGUUCUAGAUCCUUGAGGAAUUGCCACACUGUCUUCCGCAAUGGUUGAACUAAUUUACACUCCCACCAACAGUGUAAAAGUGUUCCUAUUUCUCCACAUCCUCUCCAGCAUCUGUUGUUUCCUGACUUUUUAAUGAUCGUCAUUCUAACUGGUGUGAGAAGGUAUCUCAUUGUGGUUUUGAUUUGCAUUUCUCUGAUGACCAGUGAUGAUGAGUAUUUUUUCCUGUGUCUGUUGGCUGCAUAAAUGUCUUCUUCUGAGAAGUGUCUGUUCAUAUCCUUUGCCCACUUUUUGUUGCGGUUGUUUGGUUUUUUUUAUUGUAAAUUUGUUUAAGUUCUUUGUAGAUUUUGGAUAUUGGCCCUUUGUCAGAUGGGUAGAUUGCAAACAUUUUCUCCCAUUCUGUAGGUUGCCUGUUCACUCUGAUGGUAAUUUCUUCUGCUGUGCAGAAGCUCUUUAAUUAGAUCCCAUUUGUCAAUUUUGGCUUUUGUUGCCAUUGCUUUUAGUGUUUUAGUCAUGAAGUCCUUGCCCAUGCCUAUGUCCUGAAUGGUAUUGCCUAGGUUUUCUUCUAGGGUUUUUAUGGUUUUAGGUCUAACAUUUAAGUCUUUAAUCCAUCUUGAAUUAAUUUUUGUAUAAGGUAUAAGGAAGGGAUUCAGUUUCAGCUUUCUACAUAUGGCUAGCCAGUUUUCCCAGCACCAUUUAUUAAAUAGGGAAUCCUUUCCCCAUUUCUUGUUUUUGUCAGGUUUGUCAAAGAUCAAAUGGUUGUAGAUCUGUGGUGUUAUUUCUGAGGGCUCCGUUCUGUUCCAUUGGUCUAUAUCUCUGUUUUGAUACCAGUACCAUGCUGUUUUGAGAGUUCUUUAUCUAUUUGUUUUUGUUUGUUUGUUUUAUGUUUUGUUUUUUGUUUUUUUGAGACAGAGUCUUGCUCUGUCGCCCAGGCUGGAGUGCAAUGGCGCGAUCUCAGCUCACCGUAACCUCAGCCUCCCGGGUUCAAGUGAUUCUCCUACCACAGCCUCCCAAGUAGCUGGAAUUACAGGCAGGCACCACCACACAUGGCUAAUUUUUGUAUUUUUUUUUUUUUAGUAGAGACGGUUGUUGUUGGCCAGGCUGGCCUCGAACUCCUGACCUCAGGUGAUCUGCCCACCUUGGCCUCCCAAAGUGCUAGGAUUACAGGUAUGAUCCACCACACCUGGUCCUUUAUCUAUUUUGAAUACAUAUUCUUUGUUUUUUAUUUUAUUUAUUUUUUUCUUUUUUGAGACAAGAGUUUUGCUCUUGUUGCCCAGGCUGGAGUGCAAUGGCAUGCUUGGCUCACCACAACCUCUGCCUCCCGGAUUCAAGCAAUUCUCCUGCCUCAGCCUCCUAAGUAGCUGAGAUUACAGGCAUGCAUAACCACACCUGGCUAAUUUUGUAUGUUUAGUAGAGACGGGGUUUCUCCAUGUUGGUCAGGUCGGUCUUGAACUCCCAACCUCAGGUGAUCCGCCCGCCUCAGUCUCCCAAAGUGCUGGGAUUACAGGCAUGAGCCACUGCUCCUGGCCUUGAAUACAUGUUCUUUAUCAGAUAUAUGAUUUACACUAUUUCUUCUAGUCUGUGGCUUGUCUUUUCAUUCUUUUAAUAGUGCCUUUUAAAGAGCAGGAGUUUUUUUAUUUUGGUGAAGUCCAAUUGAUCAAUAUUUUUCUUUUAUGGCUCAUGAUCUUUUGGUAUAUUUAGGAGUCAUUGCGUAACUCAAGAUCACAAGAAUUUUAUCCUCUGUGUUCUUCUAGCAGGCUUAUAAUUUUAGGUUUUUCAUUGUUGUUGCUCUCUUCAGAGACAAGGUCUUGUUUGUCACCCAGACUGGAGUGCAGUGGCUUGAUCAUAGCUCACUAUAACCUUGAACCCAAGCAAUCCUCCUGCCUCAGCCUCCCAAGUAGCUAGGACUACAGGCACAUGCCACUACAACCGUAGUCUAAGUUAAAAAUUUUUUUCAUGGAGACAGAAUCUCACUAUGUUGCCCAGGGUGGUCUCGAACUCUUGGACGCGAGCGAUUCUCCUGCCUCAGCCUCUCAAAGUGCUGGGAUUAUAGGCAUAAGCCACCAUGCCCAGCCAAAUUUAGGUUUUAUAAUUAGGUCUAUAAUCCAUUUUGAGUUAAUUUUUGUAUAUGGUAUAAGGAAUAAAUCAACAUUCCUUUUUUUGCUUUGCACAUAAAAUCCAAUUAUCCCAGCACUAUUUGUUGAAAAGACAAUCCUCUCUCUAUUUAAUUGCUUUUGCAUCUUUGUCAAAAAUAAGUAAUCCAUAUGUAUGUUGGUCUAUUUGUUCCAUUGACCUAUUUGUCUAUUUUGUUGCCAAUACCACACUGUCUUUUUGUAGGCUUUUUUUUUUUUUUUUGACAGAGUCUCACUCUGUCACCCAGGCUGGAGUGCAGUGGCACAAACACGGCUCACUGUAGCAUCGACCUCCUGGGCUCAAGCAAUCCUCCUAUCUCAGCUUCUCAAGUGCUAGGACCACAGGCACAUGCCACCACACCUGGCUAAUUUUUUUAUUUUUAUUUUUGUAGAGACCAGGUCUCACCAUGUUGUCCAGGCUGGUCUUGAAUUCCUGGCCUCAAGCGAUCUGCCUACCUUGGCCUCCCAAAGUCCUGAGAUUACAGGUAUGAGCCACUAUGCCUGGCCUGUUUUUUAAAAAACUUUUAGUUUCUAACUUGUAAUUGCUAGUGUAUAGACAUACGAUUUUUUUGCAUAUCAAUCAUGCAACCUACAAUUUUGUUAAAUUCACUUAUUCUAAUUUUUUCAUAGAUUUAAUCAGAUUUUCUACAUAGAUAAUCCUGUUGUCUGUGAGUAAAAACAGUUCCAUUUCCUUUUUUCCAAUCUGGAUGCCUCUUGCCUCUCAUUUCUUUUAUUUAUUUAUUUAUUUAUUUAUUUAUUUAUUUAUUUAUUUAUUUUUGAGAUGGAGUUUCACUCUAGUCACCCAGGCUGGAGUGCAGUGGCGGGACCUCAGCUCACUGCAACCUCCACCUCCCAGGUUCAAGCAAUUCUCCUGACUCAGCCUCCUGAGUAGCUGGGAUUACAGGUGCUUGCCACUACCCCCUGGAUGCCUUUUUUUCCUUCUUCUCUUGUUGCACUGGCCACAUACAAUGUUGAAUAGAAGUGGUAAGAUGAGAUAUCCUUGUCUUGUUCCUGAUCUUGAGGAGAAACUUUCAGUCUUUCACCAUUAAGAAUGAUGUCAGCUAGGCCAGGAGCGGUUGCUCACACCUGUAAUCCCAGCACUUUGGGAGGCCGAGGCAGAUCACCUGAGGUCAGGAAUUUGAGACCAGCCUGGCCAACAUGGUGAAACUCUGUCUCUACUAAAAAUACAAAAAUUAGCUGGGUGUGGUGGUGCACACCUGUAAUCCCAGCUACUCAGGAGGCUGAGGCAGGAGAAUCACUUGAACCUGGGAGGCGGAGGUUGCAGUGAGCCGAGAUUAUGCCACUGCACUCCAGCCUGGGUGAUGAGAGUUAAACUGCCUCAGACCAAAAAAAAAAAAAAAUGAUGUCAGCUGUAGGUUUUGGUAGAUUAACUUUAUCAGGAAGGACGAUGGCCUUUAUUGAAGGAGUUUCCUUCUUUUCCUAGAUUGCUAAAAGCUUAUAUCAGGAAUGGAUGUCAAAUUUUGCCAAAUUCUUCUUCUGUGUCAUUGAGAUGAUCUAUAUUUAUUUUGUCUGUUAAUAUGAAGAAUUACAUAAAUUGAUUUUUUUUGUUGUUUUUUUUUUUGUUUUUUUGAGAUGGAGUCUCACUCUGUCACCCGGGCUGGAGUGUAGUGGUGCAAUCUCGGCUCACUGCAACCUCCGCCUCCCAGGUUCGAGUGAUUCUCCUGCCUCAGCCUCCCAAGUUGCUGGGAUUACAGGCACCCGCCACCAAGCCUGGCUAAUUUUUGUAUUUUUAGUAGAGAUAGGGUGUCACCAUGUUGGCCAGGGUGGCCUCUAACUCCUGGCCUCAAGUGAUCCACCCACCUUGGCCUCCCAAAAUGUUGGGAUUACAGGCGUGAGCCACCAUGCCUGGCCUAUAAAUUGAUUUUUGAAUGUUAAAAUAAUUUUACUUUCCUGAACUAAACCCCACUUAUUCACAACAUGUUAUUCUUUUAAUAUAUAUUGUUGGAUUAAAUUUGCUAAAAUUUGGUUAAGAAUUUUUGCAUCUAUUUCAUGAGGAAUAUUGGUCUGUAUUUUUCUUUUCUUGUAAUGUCUUUGUUAGGUUUUGGUAUCAGAAUAAUGCUGACCUCAUAGAAUGAGUUAGGAGGUGCUCCCUCUUCUUCAGUUUUCUAGAAUACUUCAUGUAGAAUUGGUAUUAUUUCUUCCUUGAAUGUUUGGUAAAAUUCACUAGUGGUGAUGGCAGUGGUGGCCUGUCUGGAGCGGCUGCUGCCAUCAUGUCAGCUGCAGCAGGGAGGUGCAGCCAGGGCUGCACACUCUGUGAAGCCGGUGACAAGUGGGAGCCCUGUCCCUUCCAAGUUGGUGGGGGUGGGAGCUCCCCAGGUGCAGCCGCAGCCACCCAAGUUGUGGCUGCAGACUCAGGCCUCCGGCUCCAUGUUGCUGGCAGGAGCCCUACCCUCCCAAACUGUGGCUGUGGACCCAGGCAUCCCUGCACUUUGGGGGGCCCGAGAAGGAGCCCCUGUCCUCACAGGCUCAGAAAUGCCUGCUCCCACUGCCUGGCUUCUCUCUGCUUUUGGCACCUGAUCCAAUCUCAGAGCAAAGUCAGGGCCGAACCUAGGCCCGAACCUAGGCGCUCUCAUAGCCCAGCCAGGUGUGCACAUGCUCAGGGCAGUGCAGACACGCCAGCCCCCUGCUGCCCUGGCCCCCUUUGGGACCUUGGGCACCAACGAGCAUGGGAGGAAAGCCAAGUGGGGGCUGAGGGCAGCUCAGCACUGGCCUUCAGGCACCCCUUGGCAUGAACAGCCUGGGUGCCAUGAAUGGCAGUGGGAGGCAGACAGGCUCCUGGGCAGAAGGGGGUGGGUCCCUGGUGAGCUGCCAGUCCCGCAGACAGGAGUGGGAAUUUGUGGUGCCUUUUCCAGGCCCACCCAUGGCCACCCAUGGACCAAUCAGCAUGUACUUCCUCCCCUCUGAGGCACAUAAAAUCCCCAGGCUCUGCCAGAGCUGGGCAGAUGUUGGGAUGACCAGUUGAAGAGAGGAGCUACCCACUGCAGGGCCCCUCUCUGCUGAGAUUCAAGCAGACAUUGAGACAACCAGCUGCAGAGAGGAGCUACCCAUUCCAGGGCCUCUUCUCUGCUGAGAGCUGCAGAGAUGACAGGACAACCUGCCUGUAGAGAGGAGCUUCUGAUUCCACAGUCUCCUCUCUGCUAGGAGCUGAACACUCGUUGGGACAGCCAGGCUGUGGAAAGGAGCUGCCCCCUGCAGGAGACUGAGGGGUUCUAUCACUCAGUAAAGCUCCUCUUCACCUUGCUCACCUUCCACUUUUCUGAGUACCUCAUUCUUUCCAGUUGCAGGACAAGAACUUGGGACCCAUCAAAUGGUGGGACUAAAAGAGCUGUAACACAGACAGGGAUGAAACAUGCCCCCUUGUUCACCGUGUUGUGGGUGAAGAGGAGAGAAGAGCUGUGUCCCUUCAGGGAGGCCAGACCUGGGAGUUCCCCAAGCCAGGGCUGUGACUCCCUCUUUGGGGCCCUGCAGUUCCUAGCAUCUCCAAGCUUCUAUGUGCCACUGUGUUCCCUGGUGCCAGCCAUGGAAGCUGCUUGAGGUUUGCCGGGUCUGGCCACAGCCUCACAGAGAGCUGCCCACCUCACUGUAGCAGCCAGCAUGUCUGACUUUGCGCAGUGGCCAGACCCCAGGCUCGCUCACACACCUCUCGCCGUUCCAUGCCUGACUCACCCUUGACCAGUGUGGGACCCAGGCUGGUAUCAUGAGCCGAGUGCAGCCUGCCAGAUCGAGUGGGCAAAAUGAGCCCAGCGGGCCCGAGCAAAACUCGGGCAAAGGUGCCACCAACCACAGAGUUUAUGGCCAGAAAAAUUGACACCCCAAAGAUCUUUUUCUGUUGUUGUUGUUCAUUCGUCAAACAUUUAUUGAGCGCCUGCUACAUGCAAAACACUAUUAACUAGUGCACAGACAUUCUCAGAACAACAAUCCUGCAUUUCCUGGAGAGGGAUGGCAGAAGAGGAGUGCUGCCUUGUUGUGAGGUUCUCCCAACUUCUUUUCUUCCUUGGGAAUUGUUCUCUUCAAUGUGGCACCAGCGGCAACCUUCAUUCUUAGGUCGCACAAACCUUCAAUAUCCAUCCUGCUUCCUUUAUAGCUGUUUCACUUGAAAACUAAUAUGUGGGAGCACUUCCUGCAGCAAACUGCUCUUGAAUUCUUUUUUUUAAUUAAUUUAUUUUUUUAAGACGGAGUUUCAUUCCUGUUGCCUAGGCUGGAGUACAAUGGUGCGAUCUCAGCUCACCACAACCUCUGCCUCCUGGGUUCAAGCGACUCUCCUGCCUCAGCCUCCCAAGUAGCUAGGAUUACAGGCAUGCACCACCAUGCCCAGAGAAUUUUGUAUUUUUAGUAGAGACGGGGUUUCUCCAUGUUGUUCAGGCUGGUCUCAAACUCCCAACCUCAGGUGAUCUGCUCGCCUCAGCUCCCAAAGUGCUGGGAUUACAGGUGUGAGCCACCACACCUGGCCAACACCCCAAAGAUCUUAUAACAGUGUAACCAUCUGACUUGCAGUUUUCUUUGUGGGAUGAUUUUUAAUUACAAAUUUAACUUCUUUAAUAGAUAUGCAACUAUUUAGAUUAUUUCUUCUUGAGUGAGCUUUGGUAUUAUUUUUCAAGGAAUUUAUCCAUUUCAUCAAAGAUGCUGAAUUUACUGGCAUAAAGUUAUUUGUAAUAUUUUGUUAUUAUGCUUUUAUAUCUGUAGAAUCUGUAGUAAUCCCAACCUUUCUCAUUUCUUAUAUCAGUAUUUUGUGUCUCCAUUUUUUUCCCUGAUCAGUUUGGCUAGAGGUUUAUCAAUUUUACUGAUAUCUUCUUUUUUUUUUGUUGUUGGUCUUACUAGAAAUAUUAUAUUACUCUGUGUGUACUUGAGAAGAAUGUGUAUUCUGCUGUUGUGGGAUUCUGUGAGUGGACUUCAAAAAGUUCCACUUCAAAAAGGGGAAAAGUGGAAUAAAAAUUUAAAAAAUUUAAAAAUUUAAAAAGUGGAGAUAUAAAUUAAAAAAUGUAAGCUGGGCACGGUGGCUCACGCCUGUAAUCCCAGCACUUUGGGAGGCUGAGGCAGGCAGAUCACAAAGUCAGGAGAUCGAGACCAUCCUGGCUAACGUGGUGAAAUCCCGACUCUACUAAAAAUACAAAACAUUAGCCAGGCGUGGUGGCGGGCACCUGUAGUCCCAGCUACUUGGGAGGCUGAGGCAGGAGAAUGGCGUGAACCCGGGAGGCGGAGCUUGCAGUGAGCCGAGAUUGUGCCCCUGCACUCCAGCCUGGGCAACAGAGCGAGACUCCGUCUCAAUAAAUAAAUAAAUAAAUAAAUGUAAACUUUAUUUCUCAACAUAAGCUCCAUCAAGUUCAAGAUGUUUUUGUGAGCAAUGAUAGCAGCCAUUUAGUCCAUCCGUAAAGAACUGAGGGUCCUGGGAGUUUAACUAUGUCAAUGCAAUCUAUUUUACAUUAUUAACAGAAGAAAAAUGAAUGCCCUUUAAAGAUUUCUUGAGAUUAGAAAUCAAAAAGUAGUCAGAAGGAGCCAAAUGAGGACUGUAAGGUGGAUGCCUAAUGAUUCCCUAAUGGUCACAAUUGAUGAGAGGAAUGAGCAGGAGUAUUAUCGUGGUGGAGAAGGACUCUGGUGAAACUUUCCCGGGCAUUUCUCUGCGAAAGCUUUGGCUAACUUUGUCAAAAUACCGCAUAAUAAGCAGAUGAUAUUGUUCCUUGGCCCUCCAGAAAGUCAACAAGCAAGAUGCCUUGAGCAUGCUGAAAAAGUGUUGCCUUGACCAUUGCUCUUGACUGGUCCACUUCUGCUCUGCCUGGCCCGCUGCCAUGAUAGUGCUUUGUCUUUAGGAUCACACUGAUAGAAGGCCAUGUUUCAUUUCUUCUUACAGUUCUUCAAAGAAAUGCUUCAGGAUCCGGAGCCCACCUGUUUAAAAUUUUCACUGAAAGCUUGGCUCUUGUCUGCAGUGGAACUGGGCACAACAGUUUUGGCACCCAUUGAGUAGAACGUUUGCUCAACUUUAAUUUUUCAGUCAGAAUUGUAUAAGCUGAGCCAACUGAGAUGUCUGUGGUGUUGGCUGUUGUUUGUACUGUUAGUCAUUGGUCCUUUUCAAUGCAUGAACAAGAUGAAUUUUUUCCUUACAAAUUGAUGUGGAUGGUCUGCCACUGUGGGCUUCAGUUUCAGCAUCAUCUCAUCCCUUCUUAAAACGAGUGAACCAUUUGUAAACUGCUGAUGUCUUUGGGGCAUUAUCUCUGUCAACAUUUCAUAAGGCAUCAAUGAUUUCACCAUUCUUCCACCUAAGCUUCACCAUAAAUUUGAUAUUUGUUCUUGCUCAGUGUUAGCAGAAUUCAUGUUGCUCUGAUUGGGGCUCUUUUCAAACUGGAGUCUUAUCCUUCUUAGCGUCUCAAGCUAGAUAGUGUUCAGACAUGUUAUAAUAAGUUAGUAUGAAUUUAUUUUGGUGCAAAAAGAAAUUGAGGCAGGCUGAUGCCUGUAAUCCCAGCUACUUGGGAGGCUGAGGUGGGAGAAUCACUUGGACCCAGGAAAUGGAGGAUGCAGUAAACUAUGAUUCCACCACUGCACCCCAGCCUGGGUGACAGAGUGACAACCUGUCUCAAAAAAAAAUUGAAAUCCACAUGUAGUUUUUCAUACUCCACAUUUUUCAUGAACUUUUUGAAGUCCCCUCAUAUACAUCAGAUCAGGCGAGCUGCUAGUGUUGUUCAGGUCUACUAUAUCCUUGCUGA
rnacentral:lncRNA from 1 species